UGGGGAAUUUUGGACAAUGGGGGAAACCCUGAUCCAGCCAUCCCGCGUGUGCGAUGAAGGCCUUCGGGUUGUAAAGCACUUUUGGCAGGAAAGAAACGUCAUGGGUUAAUACCCCGUGAAACUGACGGUACCUGCAGAAUAAGCACCGGCUAACUACGAGCCAGCAGCCGCGGUAAUACGUAGGGUGCAAGCGUUAAUCGGAAUUACUGGGCGUAAAGCGUGCGCAGGCGGUUCGGAAAGAAAGAUGUGAAAUCCCAGAGCUCAACUUUGGAACUGCAUUUUUAACUACCGGGCUAGAGUGUGUCAGAGGGAGGUGGAAUUCCGCGUGUAGCAGUGAAAUGCGUAGAUAUGCGGAGGAACACCGAUGGCGAAGGCAGCCUCCUGGGAUAACACUGACGCUCAUGCACGAAAGCGUGGGGAGCAAACAGG
rnacentral:rRNA from 1 species